UGCCCCCUCCUCUCGCCAGCCGCUCCCUCCUCACGCAGGCAGGCGUUGCCUUUCGGUGUUCCCCUCCCUUCGCCGCCUUCCCCAUCUCACCCGCAGCGUCCACGUACCUGCGGCCUCCCUGCACCGGCAACGUCGCUCCCCCUCCUCUCGCCUGAUGCGUCCAGCUAUCUUCCACCCUGUGUUCCCAUACCUGUGGUGUCCCGAUGCCGCGGGCUCCCUGCGACGGUAGCGUCACCCCCAUUCCUCGCUCCUGUUGUAUUUGGGCAUGAUCCUCCCUGCGACGGCAGCAGUUCUCCUUCUGGGUUUUUCCACCUCUUCGAGCAGGUGAACUAUUUGGUGAGCUAGAUUGAGGGAAUGAUGAUUGAUCGUGAUGAACUUGAUAAUUUAGAAAUUCAUGACUUAAGAUUGAUGUUUCUUCUAAUUGACGUAGGUUCUAUUCGAAUCGUUUCCACUGAAGGACUUUAG
rnacentral:lncRNA from 1 species